GCCGCAUGCAGCAGCCGCGCCGCGCGGUGAUAAAUUGGGUUUAAUUUCAUUCCUCGAAUCGGAUCGAAUAAUCCGUCGACUGUUCUGGAGAGUGAGCAGGAUCGGAUUGUUAUUCUAUUGUUGUCCGCGGCGGCCAUGGCGUUCUUCGAGGAGACGGAGUCGUACUACGUCCCCUACCUCCGCGCCCACCUGCACCAAUUCGCAGCGUCGGUCUCCGCGGCGAGCUGCGAGGAGGGGGCGGGCGACGACGAGGAGUGCCGCGACGAGGCGGCCGCGCUCAGGCUCAAGAUGGUGGCCGUCGCCGCCAUCCUCAUCGCCGGCGCGGUCGGCGUCGCCAUCCCGCUCGUCGGCCGGAGGCGGCGCGGCGGGGGCGGCGGCGGCGAGGGCGGGUCCUCCGGCGGCGGGAUGUUCGUGCUCGCCAAGGCGUUCGCGGCGGGGGUCAUCCUCGCCACGGGGUUCGUGCACAUGAUGCACGACGCCGAGGAGAAGUUCGCCGACCCGUGCCUCCCGGCCAUGCCGUGGCGCCGGUUCCCCUUCCCGGGCUUCAUCGCCAUGCUCGCCGCGCUGGGCACGCUCGUCAUGGAGUUCGUCGGCACCCGCUUCUACGAGCGCAGGCACGGCGAGGAGGCCGCUGCAGCCGCGGCCACAGCCGCGCGUGACGACACCACGGCGCUGCUCGAGGACGGCUCCCUGUCAGGGAUGGCUGCCGCCGCGAUGAGCGGCGACGAUGAGAAGCAGGACGCCAUGCACAUCGUGGGCAUGCGCGCGCACGCGGCGGCGCACCAGCACAGCCAUGCGCAUGGCCAUGACGCGUGCGAUGGUGGAGCCGUGUACGACGCCCAUGCACACGCCCACGCCCAGGGCCAUGGCCAUGACCAUGGGCAUGGGAGCGAGGAGAGGCCGUCCCAAGCUCAUCAUGUGGUUGUCUCGCAGAUUCUGGAGAUGGGGAUUGUAUCUCAUUCGGUGAUCAUCGGGCUAUCCUUGGGCGUUUCGCAAAGCCCAUGUACCAUUAAACCUCUUGUUGCCGCCCUCUCCUUCCACCAGUUCUUCGAGGGUUUUGCCUUGGGUGGCUGCAUUUCUGAGGCGCAGUUCAAGAAUUUCUCUGCACUCCUGAUGGCUUUCUUCUUUGCUAUCACAACACCUGCUGGGAUCACCGUGGGGGCGGGGAUCGCGUCAUUCUACAAUGCCAACAGCCCCAGGGCAUUGUUGGUGGAAGGCAUUCUGGAUUCAAUGUCAUCUGGUAUACUGGUCUAUAUGGCAUUAGUGGAUCUCAUUGCUGCUGAUUUCCUGAGCCGGAGGAUGAGCUGCAAUCCGAGGCUGCAAGUGUGCUCAUACGUUGCCUUGUUUGUCGGGGCUAUUGCCAUGUCAUCACUGGCUAUCUGGGCUUAGUGCCAGUGAGGAUUAUUGAAGCUUGGGACGGGCUGCUUGGUGAUCAAUGCACUACGACUUGUUGCCUAGCUACCAUUAACUGACAGAGGCCUCUGAGCAAACAUAUGAUCCAGGCAGCUUGUGCAAGAAGGUCUUGCCAACUAGAAGUGCUUGACGCGAAGGCGAGUGCAGUCAUAUGGAUGGAUGAUGAGUCGCAAGGUGGAGCCAACCCUUUGCUCCCUGGCAAAUCCCGCUGCUAGAGAUAUUGAUCAUGUCACACUCGAGUCGAUGAACGUCGACUUAAAGGCUACGGCGCAUCUGAAGCCUGAAGCUCGUUCAUCAUCAGCAAUCCAAGAGGCUAUUGUGAUACCGUCCGUGCCUCCGGCAGAUUCUCUUGUCAUAUCCUCCCUGGACCAGACACCGGAACCUGCAAAGCCUGGAGGGCAUCUCCGCUGUUGAGAUAGAAAGGGCUCAGGUCCGUGUCUUGUUACCAGCUUUGCUCGUGCUGCUCACAUCCAGAACCACGGCUAAGUGAGGGAACUGUUUGGGACAUGCCAUAGUGAUCAACUGUAAGCUAAGGUUUAGCUGAGAAAGGAGAAAAUAUGUUGGAUCACCUGGAGAGCAAUCAAAACUAGGGGAUGAUCACUAAGUGAGGAUUAAGAGCACAUCUGCCACUCUCAUCAGGUAAAUUCAGGUUCGGCCAUCAAAGAAGUUACGAGCUAGUGUUCUUGCAGGAGAUAGGAGUACUACCAGACAUGAGGGGACAGUCUGGUAAGGUAGCCGCGCAGAAUCUCUUGAGAAAGGUUAACCUUUUUCUUUCCCGGGCUCAUCAACUGCCAAGUUGGAAGAGACUUGCUAGCUAAUUCAAAUGUACCAUAUCCUAUCAGAUAAUGGAAUCUCCAAGGACCGGGACAAAACAGAGAGAAUGCGAAGGAGCUAUUGGUCGUGGAGGACAUCGAUCCAGUGUCCGGGACCGGGAGCUCUAGCCAGGGACAGCAUGAUUCGAUCGCCACUGAGGAGAGGACGAGUGACCCUGCCACGGCGUGGUGGCCUACCGGUUGUGGCAACCCGGCGAGACAUGUUCCGAGGCCCGAAAGAGGCGCCCGUGGAGGAAUACUGAGCACGGAGCACCGAGCAAUGUGCGUGUCAGUUGGAGGAAAUGCGGCAGCCUGCCUGCCUGCCAUCAUUGACCUCCAGGACUUGGAUGGGCGGAGCAGUGAGUAGUUCAGACUUCCGAGAUGAGAUGGACAGAUAGAUAGAUUCUGCGUCUGAAGUCUGAAACCUCUCUUGGCGCAUUCGAAUCGAGUAUAAAGGGGAAGCUCAGAUCAAUCAGGGGCUCUGUGGACGAGUGCGCCUGCAUGCAUGGAGGCACCCUCUGGAUUUGAUGAGAUGGCGAGGGGUGUGGCAUCUGAUGAGGUGACACGGUGGCGCGCUAGCCUGGCGUCUUCCGCAGGUGCUCCACAGAGGAGGGCUUCCCGCGCUAGCUAGCAGCCUAGUGGACGAACAGGAUGGAUACAGCACUCCUGGGCUCCUGGCUUUGGAAUCUUUGCCAAGAACUGGCACGGUGGCGAGCCAGCUUCAAGAGUGAAACCGGAUGUAUCUCUUCUCUCCUGGCUUUCGGAUCCGUGUCGUCCGGCCGUGCGAUGCGGUGCGAUGCGCUGCGGAAUUUGACGUGUUUAACACUGAUGAGGUUUCUUCUGCAUCUGUCUGUCACUGCGCAUCGUAACAAAUGGUUUUCCCCUUCC